rnacentral:piRNA from 1 species
UGGACUAUUCACCCCAUACAAGAACAA